rnacentral:rRNA from 1 species
UAACUGAAGAGUUUGAUCCUGGCUCAGAUUGAACGCUGGCGGCGUGCCUAACACAUGCAAGUCGAGCGGUAACAGGUGUAGCAAUACAUGCUGACGAGCGGCGAACGGGUGAGUAAUGCUUUGGA